GUCAGUUGGAAUCCGAGCGCGCGGCGUGCAACCGUCGAUCCCGCCGACCACCCGACGACGUUCUCCGUGCACCGCCACCAACACUAGCACCAGCACCAGCAGCGGCCCUGCGGUCCCGUUUCCGCACGCCCUGCGAACCCGGAGGCCAUCAUUUACUGUUGGUUGAGCUCGUCGUCUCCCACGGGGCGACACAACUACGGUCCGCCCGCGCUGGGAGGCAAGAGAGGCACAUUUCCGAACGUGGCCAUGCAGGAAGUAGAAAGGGCCAAGGCCAGGAACAUGGCGAAAAAACAAAACAGCAAAGUAGAACGACAGAAAUCUUCGGAAAAAACGCUAUCCAAAGUACCAAGUAUCGAGACCAAAAAACAUGAAAAAUGACAAAAUCAAAAAAAUUCACUCUUAUUAAAGAUUUUAUUUUUCUAGCACUUUCGCCGAAUGAUAAAAACACACUUAUUCGUAAUCAAAAUAAUAUUAUGUAACUAUUUAUAAGUACACGAUUAUUUAUUGUCAUUUUAUAUAAAUUUUUAAUUCACAUUUUAAUAUUUUUGCGCAUUUCACAUCAUUAUUAUGGUGUUGAUUUCGCGUUAAAUUUUAGCACGUUUUGUGUAUUAAAUGACCAAACAUUUAUAACGAUUAGAGUACAGAACAAUUAGUGUUGUAUAUUAUAAUAAUUUGUAACAAAAUAUUGCUAUAUUUAUAUUGCAUAUUAAUUAUAUUAUUUACAUAUAUUUAUUUCGCAUAGUAUUUUAUGGAAACACGAAGCUCAAACGUUGUCCACGGAUGGUUACUAUAGAAUGUAUACAUAUUUUUUGUAAGCGUGUUAGACGUACGUCAAGUAUGACAUAUUAGAAAUAUAUAUGUGACACGUGGCUGGAGAUAAAUAAAUGAAAAUAUAAAAAUCCUAAUACGAAAAUGUA